CUGGCGGCGUGCCUAACACAUGCAAGUCGAGCGGCAGCGAGUUUUACACUGAAUUCUGGAAGCUUCUGGUUGAAAGAGAAGAUUUAUUCAAGAAUUUUGUGUAAAAUGUCGGCGAGCGGCGGACGGCUGAGUAACGCGUAGGAAUUUGCCCCAAAGUGAGGAAUAACUGCCCGAAAGGGUAGCUAAUGCCGCAUAUGGUCUUCGGAUUAAAGCCUUCGGGCGCUUUGGGAGAAGCCUGCGUUGGAUUAGGUAGUUGGUAGGGUAAUGGCCUACCAAGCCGACGAUCCAUAGCUGGUCUGAGAGGAUGAUCAGCCAGACUGGAACUGAGACACGGUCCAGACUCCUACGGGAGGCAGCAGUGAGGAAUCUUCCACAAUGGGCGAAAGCCUGAUGGAGCAACGCCGCGUGAAGGAUGAAGGCCUUCGGGUUGUAAACUUCUUUUAUGAGUGAAGAAUAUGACGGUAACUCAUGAAUAAGCACCGGCUAACUACGUGCCAGCAGCCGCGGUCAUACGUAGGGUGCAAGCAUUAUCCGGAGUGACUGGGCGUAAAGAGUUGCGUAGGCGGUUUAAUAAGUGAAUAGUGAAACCUGGUGGCUCAACCAUACAGACUAUUAUUCAAACUGUUAAACUCGAGAAUGGUAGAGGUAACUGGAAUUUCUAGUGUAGGAGUGAAAUCCGUAGAUAUUAGAAGGAACACCGAUGGCGUAGGCAGGUUACUGGGCCAUUUCUGACGCUAAGGCACGAAAGCGUGGGGAGCGAACCGGAUUAGAUACCCGGGUAGUCCACGCCGUAAACGAUGGAUACUAGCUGUUGGAGGUAUCGACCCCUUCAGUAGCGAAGCUAACGCGUUAAGUAUCCCGCCUGUGGAGUACGGCCGCAAGGCUAAAACAUAAAGGAAUUGACGGGGACCCGCACAAGCGGUGGAUUAUGUUCUUUAAUUCGAUGAUAACCGAAGAACCUUACCAGGGCUUGACAUCCAGGGAAGGUCUGCGAAAGUAGACUGUGCCUUUUGGAACCCUGUGACAGGUGAUGCAUGGCCGUCGUCAGCUCGUGUCGUGAGAUGUUAGGUUAAGUCCUUCAACGAGCGCAACCCUUGUGAAUAGUUGUAUUUUUCUAUUCAGACUGCCCCGGUAACGGGGAGGAAGGAGGGGAUGAUGUCAGGUCAGUAUUUCCCUUACG
rnacentral:rRNA from 1 species